UACGUAGGCAGCGAGCGUUGUUCGGAGUUACUGGGCGUAAAGCGUGCGUAGGCGGUGUCUUAAGUUUGUUGUGAAAUCUCCCGGCUUAACCGGGAGGGUGCGGCGAAUACUGAGAUGCUGGAGUGCCGGAGAGGUAAGCGGAAUUCCUGGUGUAGCGGUGAAAUGCGUAGAUAUCCGGAGGAACACCGGUGGCGAAGGCGGCUUCCUGGACCGACACUGACGCUGAGGCGCGAAAGCUAGGGGGGCAAACGGG
rnacentral:rRNA from 1 species